rnacentral:rRNA from 1 species
AACGAACGCUGGCGGCAUGCCUAACACAUGCAAGUCGAACGGGAUCCUGGCUUCGGUCAGGUGAGAGUGGCGGACGGGUGAGUAACGCGUGGGAACCUGCCCAGUGGUGGGGGAUAACUGCGGGAAACUGCAGCUAAUACCGCAUGAGCCCGAGAGGGGAAAGAUUUAUCGCCAUUGGAGGGGCCCGCGUUCGAUUAGGUAGUUGGUGAGGUAACGGCUCACCAAGCCGACGAUCGAUAGCUGGUCUGAGAGGAUGAUCAGCCACACUGGGACUGAGAUACGGCCCAGACUCCUACGGGAGGCAGCAGUGGGGAAUAUUGGACAAUGGGGGCAACCCUGAUCCAGCAAUGCCGCGUGAGUGAUGAAGGCCUUCGGGUUGUAAAGCUCUUUUGGCGGGGACGGAUGAUGACGGUACCCGCAGAAUAAGCCCCGGCUAACUUCGUGCCAGCAGCCGCGGUAAU